GACAGUAUGGCUACUGCAGUGUGGUUGCUAGAGGCACUCUGCUGAUUUCGUAUGUGUGGGUUGAAUAGACUGCACUUUCAAAUGGCACCUACAUGAAUCUAACUAUAGCUUUGAAAUAAAUGAAAGGAAAUGAUUCAGCCCAACUGGAGUUUUCAUAAUGUGCUUAAACUGUGGACUGCAAGGAUCCUGGGCGAUUUUCUAGUCCUGACUCCAUAUGACAGAUGGACACAAAGAGCCAGAAAGGAUUUUAAAACAAUCUAUCACCUAUCUUUGACCAUAUGGACUAAAAUUGAUAUCCACCAAUAGACACUGAUGCCUGCAAGUCAACAGCAUAAAGAGUGGUAAAGUCAGUGCUGCAAAAGAUGAAAUGUUUUUAAUGUGCUCUGGAGGCUAACCAUCCAAGACCAAGAUGUCAGCAGGAUUGGUUCCUGAGGGCCUUGAGGAAGAAUCUGUUCCAGGACUUUCCCUUUGGCUUGCCAUUGGCCAUAUUCUCUCUGUGUCUUCUCACGUCUUCCCUCUGUAUUUGUUUCCAAAUUUCCUCUUCUUAUAAGGACAGUAGUCAUAUUGGAAAAAGGAACACCCUAAUAACCUAAUUUUAACUUGAUUACCUCUUUAAAGACCUUAUCUCCAAAUACCAUCACAUUCUGAACUAUUAAAGAUUAAUGCGUCAAUAUAUGAAUUUUGUGAGGGGCAGGGAGACAGAAUACAACCAACCCACAACACCCAGAUACAUAGCGAAAUCUUCUUCUUCUAGGCCCCCUGUGCCUGUGUCCACCACUUCAUCCCCCAAUUAGCUAUAUUUGAAAAAGUAAGAGGGAAAGAACAGUUGGAGGGGGAAGAGAGAGAGAAAGAAGACAGACAACUUAGAUUAUGUGCCCUAGAUGUUGGCCUUACAAAACGGGAGCAAAUCUUAACCAAUCAUUGUAGCAAAACCUUUUGUUUAUGAAGGAAGUUCCUUUUGUUUCUUUUCAGUCCACUCUACCUGCUAAUUAAAAUCAAUAAUAUGAGAUGCCGUGCUAUCUUUCCUACCUGAGCCACUUAUACUGUAUUGUCAGGUUUGGUUUAUUUCAUUUUCUGAGCUUAUUUGCCAGUUAAUCAUUUGUUUUUAUAUUACAAAGUGGCUCAUCUCUGCCUCAUUACACACUGAAAGUAAUGCCUGACAAGCGAUUGUCCAACGCUCACCAAACCGUGCUUGUGCAGGUUGGCAAAGGAUGCUCUCAGCAUAGACAGGCUGACUUACAUACAGCCAGCCUACCUUUCCUGUCUCACUAUCAGAUCUGUUCAUAGGUCCCGACACAGGGGAAAAAAAUCAGAAUGAUAUAUAGAAUUAAAGGAUAAUGGAACUGGAAUAAUGUUGAGCAUCUUAAUUAGAGACUUUGGGCAGGAUAUAAUCAUACAUGUGAGUUGAAUACGUAAUUAGAAGAUUAGAAUCUUUGAAAAAGAAGGAAGCGUUAGUAUUCUUUAGUUAGCAAAAUGCACUGUUUUAUAGAAUGUAAAACAAACAGCACCAAAGAAGACAAAGUUUUAUAAAAUGACUUUCCCAAGGUUUACUCAUUUCUUCAUAUAAGAGAAUGUGCUUCCAAUGUACUGUGAAGAUCUACAGCAUUAUUUACUGAUGUAAAAGAAAACAUUUUUCAUUAAUUAUUUUGCCCAUCUUCUGAGUCCUCCUGUAUUUCAUAUUGUACCAAGGUCUAUCAAUAAAUUGAUAAGCUCAGUGCAAACAGAA
rnacentral:lncRNA from 1 species